rnacentral:rRNA from 1 species
GAUGAACGCUAGCGGCAGGCCUAAUACAUGCAAGUCGGACGGGAUUCAGGAGCUUGCUUCUGAUGAGAGUGGCGCACGGGUGCGUAACACGUAUGUAACCUCCCUUUAUCAGGGGGAUAGCCUCUCGGAAGAGAGAUUAAGCCCGCAUAAAAUCACAGCACAGCAUUGUGUAAUGAUCAAAUAUUUCUAGGAUAAAGAUUGGCAUGCGGAACAUUAGCUAGAUGGCGGGGUAACGGCCCGCCAUGGCGACGAUGUUUAGGGGAUCUGAGAGGAUGGCCCCCCACACUGGUACUGAGAAACGGACCAGAGUCCUACGGGAGGCAGCCGUAAGGAAUACAGGUCAAUGGACGGAAGCCUGAACCAGCCAAGCCGCGUGCAGGAAGACGGCCCUACGGGUUGUAAACUGCUUUUAUACGGGAAUAUACCCAGAUACGGGUAUCCGGCUGAAUGUACUGUAAGAAGAAGGAUCGGCUAACUCCGUG